GCCUGGCCGGAAGGCGGCCGGCGAGAGCGCCACUGACCCCGGCCGGCUGGGGGCGGGCUUGGGCCCCAGGACGGAGGCGGGGUUCGCGCGGCCGCAGGCCUCGGGCAGAGUGGCGGGGGCUGGGCUGCCCGUGCUGAGGCUUCGGUCGCGGCCGGGGUUAGGGGCGGCACGUCAGGCGGGGGAGGCGAACGACCAGGAGCCCUCCCCACUGUGUGCCUCUGGGACGUCUCGACCUGUCGACGUUUGUUCCCCACGAGCCCAGGCAGCGUGACUGAGCAGGAGUCGGGAGCGAGGCCGGUCCCCUGCCCCACCGGCAGCGCCUGCCGGGCCCGCUGCUGUGUCGCCUGCCUCCCUGGAGCUGCCCUUCCCGUGGGACAGACAGAAAGUUGCUGAGUGUGGCUGAGAACCCCCAGCAAGUCCAAAUCCUGUGUCGUGGACUCCAGCAUCCAGGGCACGCGGAUGUCUGCGAUGCCCAGGACCCUUCGGACCCUCUCAGGGAACGUGCCAUCGCAGCGCAAAGUCCUCCGUGUCCUGCCUUCAG